AAAAACCUUACCUACCCUUGACAUGGCAGGAAUCCUUGAGAGAUCAGGGAGUGCUCGAAAGAGAACCUGCACACAGGUGCUGCAUGGCUGUCGUCAGCUCGUGUCGUGAGAUGUUGGGUUAAGUCCCGCAACGAGCGCAACCCUUGUCAUUAGUUGCUACGAAAGGGCACUCUAAUGAGACUGCCGGUGACAAACCGGAGGAAGGUGGGGAUGACGUCAAGUCCUCAUGGCCCUUAUGGGUAGGGCUUCACACGUCAUACAAUGGUACAUACAGAGGGCCGCCAACCCGCGAGGGGGAGCUAAUCCCAGAAAGUGUAUCGUAGUCCGGAUUGCAGUCUGCAACUCGACUGCAUGAAGUUGGAAUCGCUAGUAAUCGCGGAUCAGCAUGUCGCGGUGAAUACGUUCCCGGGUCUUGUACACACCGCCCGUCACACCAUGGGAG
rnacentral:rRNA from 1 species